rfam:Gossypium hirsutum cultivar TM-1 chromosome 15, whole genome shotgun sequence
UAUUAAAAAUUUUAUUUAUUUUUAUUUUUAAAAAUUAACGUGACUAAUAGAAUAAUCAGAUAAUCGUGUACCUCGUACUGAUGUAAUAAAAACUAAUUUUUAACAAUAAAAAUCAAUAAAACUUUUAACA